UAUGGUCAAUAGCCUAACAGGCUGAACCAGCAACUUGGAGGAAUGUAUGGGGAAAACUGGUAAAAUGUGAUGUACCUGGUAGUAUUAGCAAUUAAUAUGAUAUUAACUAAGUUAAUUAAAAUUCUAUGUAGAUAUUGAUUAUGACAAUAUAUGCUUAUUUCUUGACCAAGUCACGUGCCAGCAGUCGCGGCAAUACGUGGUAGAUUAGUGUUAUUCAUCUUUAAUAGGUUUAAAGGGUACCUAGACGGUUAAUUAGACAUAGAAGUGUACUAAAAUUGACUAGAGUUUAAUGUAAGAAGGAUUGAGUACGGUGAGUGUAGAGAUAAAAUUCUGUCAUACCACUUAAGGAACUGGUAAAGGCGAAGGCAACCUUUUAUGUAAAAACUGACGUUAAGGGACGAAGGCUCGAAUUAAGUAACAGGAUUAGAUACCCUAGUAUUGUGGGCAGACAAUGAUGAGUGUCAUAUGCAAGAAUAUUUUUGUGUAUAAAUGAAAGUGUAAGCACUCCACCUCAAGAGUAACGUGGCAACAUGGGAACUGAAAUCAUUAGACCGUUUCUGAAACUCGUAGUGAAGUAUGUUGUUUAAUUUGAUUGCCCUCAAAGAACCUUACCACAAUUUGUAUAGCUUGAACAUAAAUUAUAGAUUAUUUAAACUAUAAUUCAAGCAACAAGCGUUGCACGGCUGUCUUCAGUUAAUGUUGUGAAACUUUGGUUAGAUCCAUUUAAUUGACGUAAACCCUUGCUUUAUUUAUUAUAAAGCAGUUCGCCGCUAUAUUGGUAGUGAUAUAAGGGACUAGGACAAGUCAUCAUGACCUUAACAUUGUGGGCUAUAA
rnacentral:rRNA from 1 species